rnacentral:rRNA from 1 species
AGAGUUUGAUCCUGGCUCAGAUUGAACGCUGGCGGCGUGGUUAAAGCAUGCAAGUCGCACGGGCCCGCAAGGGCCAGUGGCAGACGGGUUAGUAAUACGAUCGAACGUACCCUGAGGUGGAGGAUAGCGGCGGGAAACCGCCGGUAAUACUUCAUGAUCUCCCCGGAGCAAAGUCGCAAGGCGCCUUUGGAUCGGCGAUCGUCCUAUCAGCUAGUUGGCGGGGUAACGGCCCACCAAGGCGAUGACGGGUAGCAGGUGUGAGAGCACGACCUGCAACAUCGGGACUGAGACACUGCCCGGACUCCUACGGGAGGCUGCAGCGACGAAUCUUCCGCAAUGGGCGAAAGCCUGACGGAGCGACGCCGCGUGUGGGAUGAAGCGUCUACGACGUGUAAACCACUGUCAGAGAACAGAAACACUGAUUGUUCUCAGAGGAAGGGGCGACUAACUCUGUGCCAGCAGUCGCGGUAAUACAGAGGCCCCGAGCGUUAAUCGGAAUUACUGGGCUUAAAGGGUGCGUAGGCGGACCAGAAAGUGCUUCGUGAAAGCCCCCGGCUCAACCGGGGAACAGCGGGGCAUACUACUGGUCUUGAGGAAGGUAGGGGCUGCCAGAACUGUAGGUGGAGCGGUGAAAUGCGUAGAUAUCUACAGGAAUGCCGAUGGUGAAGACGGGCAGCUGGGCCUUUCCUGACGCUGAGGCACGAAAGCGUGGGGAGCAAACAGGAUUAGAUACCCUGGUAGUCCACGCCGUAAACAAUGCGCGCUAGAUCGGAGUGGCUCUGACGC